rnacentral:rRNA from 1 species
ACGUAGGGGGCGAGCGUUGUCCGGAAUGAUUGGGCGUAAAGGGCGCGUAGGCGGCUAUUUAAGUCUGGAGUGAAAGUCCUGCUUUCAAGGUGGGAAUUGCUUUGGAAACUGGAUGGCUUGAGUGCAGGAGAGGUUAUCGGAAUUCCCGGUGUAGCGGUGAAAUGCGUAGAGAUCGGGAGGAACACCAGUGGCGAAGGCGGGUAACUGGACUGCAACUGACGCUGAGGCGCGAAAGUGUGGGGAGCAAACAG